rnacentral:rRNA from 1 species
UACGUAGGCAGCAAGCGUUUGUUCGGAGUUACUGGGCGUAAAGAGUAUGUAGGCGGUUGCGUAAGUUCGGUGUGAAAUCUCCCGGCUUAACUGGGAGGGUGCGCCGAAAAACUGCGUGGCUUGAGUGCGGGAGAGGAGAGCGGAAUUCCUGGUGUAGCGGUGAAAUGCGUAGAUAUCAGGAGGAACACCGGCGGUGUAGACGGCUCUCUGGACCGUAACUGACGCUGAGAUACGAAAAGCGUGGGUAGCAAACAGG